GAUGAACGCUGGCGGCGUGCCUAAUACAUGCCAGUCGAGCGAACAGAUGAGGAGCUUGCUCCUCUGACGUUAGCGGCGGACGGGUGAGUAACACGUGGAUAACCUACCUAUAAGACUGGGAUAACUUCGGGAAACCGGAGCUAAUACCGGAUAAUAUAUUGAACCUCAUGGUUCAAUAGUGAAAGACGGUUUUGCUGUCACUUAUAGAUGGAUCCGCGCCGCAUUAGCUAGUUGGUAAGGUAACGGCUUACCAAGGCAACGAUGCGUAGCCGACCUGAGAGGGUGAUCGGCCACACUGGAACUGAGACACGGUCCAGACUCCUACGGGAGGCAGCAGUAGGGAAUCUUCCGCAAUGGGCGAAAGCCUGACGGAGCAACGCCGCGUGAGUGAUGAAGGUCUUCGGAUCGUAAAACUCUGUUAUUAGGGAAGAACAAAUGUGUAAGUAACUAUGCACGUCUUGACGGUACCUAAUCAGAAAGCUACGGCUAACUACGUG
rnacentral:rRNA from 1 species